AAAUACCUCUAGAACAUAAAAAAUUAUAUAACAAAUACAGACACCAACCAGAAGCGUGUCACCGUCUUGAUAUAUCUUUGUCAUUUCCCCCAUUUUUUUCACCUCAGAGUGUUUAAAUGCACCUCAAGUUCAUGAGCAAGAUGUCCUAACCCUAACCCUAACCCUAACCCUAACCCUAACCCAUCUCCAGCUGAAACUUUCCCAAACGUUUAACUGCUUGGAAAUAUACAAUGUGUGCUUAGAAGCUUGGUGGUGGUAUCACGGCUAUCCUCAGCUGUCAGUGUGGAGUUACACCUUACACACGUUUUUCACGAGCAGCUCUGGUGUUUAAUGGUGUCUUCAAGAGCAACAUAAAGACAUCCAUCUCUGAAUACAGCCACUGUUUGAGCUGGCAUUUGAGAAAUCCACAUGAACUGCGGCUGGAAGACGACGUGGGCGAAAGUGAGAAAGUGGAAACAAGGAGACAGAAAAGUGAAAGCCAUAGAAAAUUCCACGGAUAGAAAUAACAAUUUUUGUCAAGCAAGUAGUGAAACUUUAACAUAGGAGCUAAUGUGAUAGGUUUUAUUACAUAUAUGCUUUCAUUGCUUGGAUAUAAUGUUUAUACUGAUUCUAAAAGUCUUUACGAUAUUUUAUGAUAUAUAGUAUAUAUUUAUAAUGAUUUUAGAAGGCAAUAUUAUAGGAUAUAUAUUAUAUAUAUUUAUAAUACAAACCUUACAUCCAUUUAUUCUGCACAACGUGAACAUUUUGGUACACAGACAUAUUUAUAAUAAACACAUUAAAGCUGAUUAACAUAUAAACAGAUAUAUAAAUGUAUAUAAAUAUAUAUAAUAUAUU